AUGUCUGAGUCGUGUGGAUCCAAUGAUUUCUCCCAUGCAGACGGGGAAGUUUCUAGUACGAAACAGACACAUAAAGAACUUUAUGCAUACGGGGAAGUUUCUAGUACGAAACGGACACAUAAAGAACUUUAUUUAGAAGAAGCUGAGUCAACAGAGAAGAUGGCCUCUACAGCAGAACAACAAAGUCGUUCUAAGAGUUACUCUUUUGGUCGUGGCUUGAAUGCAAGGUGGGCAUGGUAA